rnacentral:tRNA from 1 species
UCUCUGGUGGCUCAGAUGGUAAAGCGUCUGCCUGCAAUGCGGGAGACCCGGGUUCAAUCCCUGGUUUGGGAA